UUGGUAUUUUUGGUGUUUCAAUAUCACUUUCAGUUUCAAACAAAUUUGCGAAUGAGACUAGAAGCGAAGCUAGAGUUUGGAUCGAGGUUAUAAUACUCAUAUGUUGUAUACUACACUUAUUGUCUGGGAUAUGUAUACUUUUGGGAUUGUUUUUGGAUAUGAAAAUUAUAUUCUCAUUCGGCAAAGGCAUGAGCCAUGUUUUGCCAUGGGUUGGGAUUUGCUCGAUAAUCUUACCAAGUGAGUGUCAACAUUUGGUAUUGGAUCUG